rnacentral:rRNA from 1 species
CCUACGGGGUGCACCAGUGGGGAAUUUUGGACAAUGGGCGCAAGCCAGAUCCAGCAAUGCCGCGUGCAGGAUGAAGGCCUUCGGGUUGUAAACUGUUUUUGUACGGAACGAAAAGCCCUGGGUUAAUACCCUGGGGUCACGACGGUACCGUAAGAAUAAGCACCGGCUAACUACGUGCCAGCAGCCGCGGUAAUACGUAGGGUGCAAGCGUUAAUCGGAAUUACUGGGCGUAAAGCGUGCGCAGGCGGUUUUGUAAGACAGAGGUGAAAUCCCCGGGCUCAACCUGGGAACUGCCUUUGUGACUGCAAGGCUAGAGUACGGCAGAGGGGGAUGGAAUUCCGCGUGUAGCAGUGAAAUGCGUAGAUAUGCGGAGGAACACCGAUGGCGAAGGCAAUCCCCUGGGCCUGUACUGACGCUCAUGCACGAAAGCGUGGGGAGCAAACAGGAUUAGAUACCCUAGUAGUC